UCCUCAACAAAAUGGAGUAGUUGAACCUAAGAAUCAAUAUUUUAUUAAAACAUCUAGCACUUUACUCUCUAAUCAUCAUGUACCUUUUCGUUUCUAGGGAUGUUUUUAUUGCUUGUUACCUAAUUAACCAUAUGCAUUCUUCUGUCUUGCAACAUCAAAGUCCUAUUCUCUUUUAUUUCCAUAUCAAACUUCUAAUCCUCUUCCUUUAUG
rnacentral:misc_RNA from 1 species